GACGGAGGAUGCAAGUGUUAUCCGGAAUCACUGGGCGUAAAGCGUCUGUAGGUGGUUCGAAAAGUCCACUGUUAAAAAUUGAAGCUUAACUUCAAAGAUGCCGUGGAAACUUUCAAACUAGAGUGUGGUAGGGGUAGAGGGAAUUUCCAGUGGAGCGGUGAAAUGCGUAGAUAUUGGAAAGACCACCGAUGGCGAAGGCACUCUACUGGGCCAUUACUGACACUGAGAGACGAAAGCUAGGGGAGCAAAUGGGAUUAGAAACCCCCGUAGUCC
rnacentral:rRNA from 1 species